ACCAUUUUUUACUCCCCAAAAUCGCACCAGCUCCUCCUCUCACCCACCAUCCCCACUCUCUCUAUACACCAGCCACACCCCCGCCAGGCCCCUUGCGCCCUCGACGAAUCCAAAUCCAGGUUAGAGUCUCUCGCGCGCCGCCGCUCGCCGCCUGCUCCAUCUCCCCCGCGCCUCUCCCUGCUCCUGGAUUUCACCGAUCUGGCAUGCUUUACUGUCCCGUGGCAGUGGGAGCCGCCCCCUUUGUUGCGUCCACAGCUCAUGCCAUGCAUGGCCGAUCCGAUUCCACAGAUCGGGCUUGCCGCAGACGUGUGCCGUUGCUUCCCCGUUCGCUUCUCCCUUUGACACCCCCUCGCUUCGUUCUGCGUAGUUUCGGGGUUUGGCAUCGCCUGUCUAUCCCGUUCAUAUAGCCUUUAGGGUUUCGAGCUCGACCUCCACGCCGGCGUCUCAGUUGCUGCAAGUGGAGGCGGCAAGCUAGAGGCAGCAACUGCAUAACUUGCAAGAAAAACGGUUUUGUGACGUACCGAUGAUUUUCUUGCAAGUUGUGCAGUUGUUGUCUCAAGCUUGUUGCCUCCCUUUGCCAGAACUAUUGAAUGUGAAAGCACAGUUAAGUAAUGCCACAUCCAGAGAAUCCAAAAGGUAUUGUUGAUAUAAAAAGUUGCUAAGCGCCAUGGAACUUUCGGCAGAGUAAAUUGUAUGCCUUUAUGAAAUAACUGAAGUAGAUGUGUUGGCAUGCAAUUGUUUGAUUCAAGAAAUGAUAUAUUAUACAAAAUCACAAGAUGGGAAUUAGUGAGAAACAAUGAUUGUAUGAAAGCAAUUAAGGCAAAUACAAAACCUCUUCAUCUUGUGUUGGCAGGCUAUGAUUAUAUAAUUCUUUACUGUUCUCUACACUUCUCACAUACAAAGUGCUGAUGUCUCAAUGGAGCUAAAUCAGUCCCAGAUCAUGUGAAAUCCUAAUGGCGCAUGUGCUUGAAGGACGAAACAGAACAAGUCAGGGAUUGGUGAUGAACUUGCUGGAACAAGCUUAUGAUGAAACUGAUGAUGGUUUCAACCUUUUUAGGCUUUAGUUAAAGGCUAUAAUAUUCUUUAAAGGUUCAAUAUAAACUAAGAAGGAUUCAUGCAUGACUCACCCUCUUGGAGUAUGGAUUGGAGAAUAUAUUGGCUGCUGAUCUUAAGAUCUUUUCAGUUCAGAGGAUGGGAUUAUGGGAGCUUAGACCAGGUACCUGUGUUUCCUGCUGACCACUGCUGUGUCUUUCCGUAUCUCCUAUCACUUCUGUCUCAGGAUGUUUGUAUUUCAGGGUUCAAAUGAACCUGUGAGGUUUUCGCUUCCUCUAGUAAAAGGGAUUUGCUUGGAGGGCUGCUUUUGGCAUAUGAACCAUCUGUAUUGUGGAUUUGCUUGGAAGUCUGCUUUUGGCAUAUGAACCAUCUGUAUUGUGCUUCAGAAGGUUUCCUUGUAUUGCUCUUAAUGUUCAGACUACCAAGCUGGCUAAGCAGUUCCAGAGUUACAGAAGGGCAUACUCUGGUCCUACAAAAGAUGGCAUAUUCUAUCGAACUAGACCUAUCAAAAGAUGGCUAAGCAAUUCGUUGGAGUGGCUUCAGUUUUAGUUCUAAAAGAGAUGGUAUGAUGAAUGGGAGAAAAAAAUUGGCAUUCCUACCCUAUCUAAGCUGUAAACCUUGGCCUAAUUUUUUGGUUAAAUUUCUCUCAGCUUAUGUAGCAAACAAUGGCAAUUAUCAAAAGUCCAAGUAUGUACAGUCUUGCCCUAUCUAGGUUCUGACAGGCUAUGUGCUGUUUUGCCUUCUCAUGGUGUGAGUCAUGGGAUGCUGAGACAUGACCCAAAUAACUGUUCUUGGUGGGCUGACCUGGGUACAUAAUGAUUAGUCUUAGGGGUGAGGAUUGAUGUAUAUAGGUAUGAAACCCAUUUGGAUUUCAAUUCAAGUGAGCAGUUUCUCCAUUUAUAUGGUAUUCCAUUGGAAUUUCCCUUUAUUGGCUAUGAUAUUGCGUAGAUACACGCGCCAAGUCUUGUGGAAUAUAUAGUAUUUUUGAUACCAACCAUGAAGACUAAAUUCAGAGUUAGGAAUGGACUAUUCAGUCUUCUUAUUACCAUAUGAUCCAGAUUUUGCAGAGAACUUGGUGUGCAGUCGAUCGAGCACACGUGAUUUAAUCAACAAUACAAGUGUAUUUAGUCUUUUCAUAGUGGAUCUAGUGAAAAAAGGUAUUUUGAACCAGUGUGUCUACAGUCUGUACACCGCAUAUCCCUUCUUCCCUCCGAUUAGAAGCCAUGGCCGCGAUCGGAAGGGAGAUGGAUUCAGUGACUUUCCUCUGGGAAAGUCACAGCGUAACUUUCCUACCUCUAUGCACCGUUCAACACAGAUCUAACGGCUGACAAAUAAUCUAACGUAAAGUAUUAUUAUUUUA